rnacentral:rRNA from 1 species
UACAGAGGUCUCAAGCGUUGUUCGGAUUCAUUGGGCGUAAAGGGUGCGUAGGCGGCGUCGUAAGUCGGGUGUGAAAUCUCGGGGCUUAACUCCGAAAUUGCAUUCGAUACUGCCGUGCUUGAGGACUGGAGAGGAGACUGGAAUUUACGGUGUAGCGGUGAAAUGCGUAGAUAUCGUAAGGAAGACCAGUGGCGAAGGCGGGUCCCUGGACAGUUCCUGACGCUGAGGCACGAAGGCCAGGGGAGCAAACGGG